GAGUGAGAAGCAAACACUUGCAAUCAGUUUCGACCUGAUCUUAGAUAAAGAAAUUAUCCACACUCU
rnacentral:tRNA from 1 species